ensembl:lncRNA
AGUGGGGACAUCAAAUCUAUGUUCCACCAAGUUAGGCUACUACCAGAAGACCGUUCUCUUCUACGCUUCCUGUGGCGCAACAUGCAGAGGUCAAACCCACCUGACAUCUACGAAUGGCAAGUUUUGCCCUUUGGCACAGUAUGUAGUCCAUGUUGCGCAAUAUAUGCUUUACAAAGGCAUGUCCAUGAUCACAAAGAAGGAUAUGAAGAUGUAGUGAAUUCUGUACUUCAGUCAUUCUAUGUGGACAACUGUUUAGAGAGUUUCCCAAAUGUGCAAACUGCAAAAAACUUCCUAGACCGAAUGCGUUCUUUACUGAUGAGUGGAGGAUUUGAAAUCAGACAGUGGGCAAGUAACCUGCCUGAUGUUGUCAGACACCUUCCUCCUGAAGCCAGGUCUGAGAGUGCUGAACUGUGGAUCAAUCAAGAUCGUUUGGAUCCUAAAGAAGGAGCUCUGGGUCUGAGUUGGCACUGUCCCUCUGAUUCAUUAGGGUAUCGAUCCCGAAUUGUGGAGUAUAAAGCAACAACCCUGCGCAAUAUAUAUAAAGUCCUCGCCAGUCAGUAUGACCCCUUGGGUUAUAUCUCCCCCUUUACAACGCGAGCUAAGGUCAUCAUACAACAAUGCUGGAUGAAGUCCAGGGGCUGGGAUGAUCCCCUUAUGCCAGAUCCUAUUCAACAGGCCUGGAAGGCUUGGGAAAACGAGCUCCCUGAUCUGUCAUUGAUACAGCUUCCUAGAUGUUAUUCAACCUUGCCUUCCAAUCAAAUUACAUCUAGAGAGUUGCAUAUAUUUUGUGACGCCUCAGAGAGUGCAUAUGGGUCAGUAGCCUAUUUGCGGAUGGAAAAUGACAAGGGUGUGGUACAUACUUCCUUCAUCAUGGCAAGAUCUCGAGUGGCCCCUAAAAGGCAAAUAUCCAUCCCUCGUCUGGAACUUUGCGCUGCUCUAACAGGUGCACAGCUUUGUAAACUCCUGCAGAACGAAUUGACUCAUCCUUUGACAAAUAUUGUCCUAUGGUCAGAUUCAACAACCGUCUUGUCUUGGCUGCAUUCCCUCUCCUGCCGUUACAAAGUUUUUGUAGCUAAUAGAGUCACUGAAAUCCUGGAACUUACUGAUCCCUCUUCUUGGAGGUAUAUUCCUUCUGCACAGAAUCCAG